AACGAACGCUGGCGGCAUGCCUAACACAUGCAAGUCGAACGAGACCUUCGGGUCUAGUGGCGCACGGGUGCGUAACGCGUGGGAACCUGCCCUUAGGUUCGGAAUAACUCCCCGAAAGGGGUGCUAAUACCGGUUAAUGUCUUUGGACAAAAGAUUUAUCGCCUUUGGAUGGGCCCGCGUUGGAUUAGCUAGUUGGUAGGGUAAAGGCCUACCAAGGCGACGAUCCUUACCUGCUCUGAGAGGGUGAUCAGCAACACUGGCACUGAGAAAGGUCCCAGACGCAACAGGGGGCAAGGGUUGGGAAAUAUUGGCAAACGGGCGAAGGCCUGGACCAACACCGCAGGGGGAGUAAUCAGGGCUUAAGGGUGGAAAGCUCUUUUAACCGGGAUGAUAAUGACAGUACCGGGAGAAUAAGCUCCGACUAACUCCGUG
rnacentral:rRNA from 1 species